rnacentral:lncRNA from 1 species
UCUUCAGAAUAUCCAUUUCUUAAUGCAUAUCCAUGGAUUUCUCUACCUUUGUCCAAAGCUGCAAGGCUCGCACAGGCAGGAAGGAUGCACGCCACUGUUGUGCCGUCAGGCUUUGAUUCUCUUUGCAUCUCUGCAAACAAGGUAAGAGCUUCAUUUGGAAGACUGUUCUUCGUGUAACCUCCGAUCAUAGUAUUCCAUGAUAUAACAUCCUUCUUUUUCAUGUGAGAAAACACAUCAUGUGCAUCCUUCAUGCUGCCGCACUUGGCAUACAUGUCCGUAAGAGCAUUACUUACAAACGAGUUAGUUUCCAAGUUGUUUUCUCUGAUGUAAUCGUGUACAAUCUUCCCACUUUUCAGGUUCCCGUUAAUAGCACAAGCAUUGAGAAUGCUUGUAACAGCAUAGACAUCUGGGACAACGCCUCUACUUUUCAUUUCAUCAAACAACUUGAUUGCACCAUCGGACAGACCUUCACGAACAUAGCCGGUGAUCAUUGAAGUCCAA